UUAGGAAGUAUGGUUUCUUAGUGAAAAAAGAGAAGAUAAACCAUACUGAAGUAAUAUCAAAAGUAAUCCUUUAAGCACCCACACCCUCCACAUAUCCACCUCUGGCCAAACACAGCUAAAUGCAUUCUGUGUUGCUUGCAGACUUUUUGUUUAAUGGAAGACUCUCUGGUCUGCUGUUAGUUAAACCAUUGCUGGUUGCUGACCACUGGAGAUCAGUCAACUGUCUGAUGUGCCACGUGAACAUUCAGGCCUUUUUAUUCUGAAAAAGUCGCAUAAACAGCGAUGGCAUUUGGUAUUUCUUGCCCUCAUCCAAAAACUACACUGAUUUUGGUGCCUCAAUUGACAAUGGUAUUUAGUGAGACAAUGAACCAUUGCAGUUUUUGGACAUCGCUUUCAACUCAAUGUCACUCAACCAUGAAAUGACGCAUCAAGGUGUCAAAUGAAAGCUAAUGGCCUAUAUUUUAAUAAUAACAAGAAUUGAAUAGCCAGUAUGCAAUCAACUACCUGUAUAACCCCUUCUGUCAGGAUUACCUUUUUUGAGACCCUUUAUAAACUCACCACAGGUGAGCCAAUAACUUCAAAAUAAAUGUCUGUUACAGAUUAACAAAUCAAUAACAAAAUGGUUCAAACCUCAUAUUCUUUUUUUUCUUUCUUCUUCUUAUAUAUUACCACGCAUCACAAAAUGGAAGGACACCCAGACCUAGCAUCUCCACAAAAGGACCCAAAAGAAGCUGACACACUUGACAAAUUGCCUCUGAAAAUAACAAAGGAAAAAACACCCAAAACAAGUCCAACUCCAAGCAGUACCAAGUCAAAGCGACCUGCACCAAAGGAGAAACCUAAAGCUACCACUUCCACACAAUUGCCCAAGAAGAAAACGAAAACUUCCAGCAAAAAUACCACUACAGCAGCACCAACAACAUCAUAAACUGUUUCCACAUCCUUCAAAACAAAACUAUUGUUUAAGCCACAAACAGCUAACUUAAAUAUGCCCUUGCCAUCAAACAAGAACGAAAUGACAAAACACCACUUGAAUCACCAACAAAGACACUUUCAAAAGCGAUGUCAUCUACCACCCUCAUCACUGAAAAAACAUUAUCCUUCAACCCAGCCAAGACAAAGACACAGAAAAAACAAACAACAGCUUCAUCUCCAGAGCAGUCAGCAAAACUACCUCCUCCUCCAACAGCCGAAUAAUUUUCUGUAAGGAACUUUGCAACACACCCUCAGGACAAAUGAACAUCAAAGACAAAUACAUUGCCGACAAUUCAGCAAUAGUCAGGCUCACAACUUGGGACCCCACAUUGAUGUCAUUCAAGAAGCAAACAGUUACACAUUAACUGAUGUGAGCAUGAAAACAUUCCAAGAAACAAGACACUUGUCAACCACUACAGCAACUCAGGUAAUGAAAAUUGAACCUAUAACAGAAUUCAAGAAACCUGAACAAUCCAACCUCUUCCCAACAUCAACGGCAGAACUGGUUGCCAUGGACAUUGAAAAAAAGUCACAUGCAUUGCCUGCUCAGCUCUUAACACAUACAUUCCUGCCAACUCCACAACUUCCAAAUGUCAGGAAUGCAAUGCUCAGCAGAAAGUAACAAACAUGAAAAUUGCAUACACUGGCAAGGCUACAUUUUUGGACACCACAUCAGAGUCAGCAAUACAACUGAAAUUCACCAACAACUUCCUAAGUCGCAUUCUUGACGCAGUUAACAAUGCUGCACCUGAACCCUUGACCAACACCGAAGAAAUCGAACAAUUCCUACUUGGAUACAAUGACACAUUCGCCAUUACUUUUAUAAAAUACAGCAAAACAAUUCUGUCAUUAGACCCUUCUGAAUUGGAGUAACAUACCAUAUGAUUUGAUGCUCUUGGGUAAUGAAUAACCAUCAAAGAAACUUAACCUGCAUACGUGGCGCCUCAUCAGUAUGAAAAAUAGAGUUUCAAAGUCACACCAUUGUGAAAUCAUAUCUCGUAAUGAUUUGUCAUGCAUUAGCCAUUUUCCGUGUAUGUAUGUGUUGUCAGUGGGGCGUGUGUUUGUCAAGCCUAUGGCGCUAUACCCCACAAAAUACAAGUUCCUGUGACCAUUAUUAAUCUUUAGCUCACAUACUUGACGCAAGCAUUAUUCUGGCCAUCAGAUCCUCGCCCUAUCCAUAUUUGUUAAUUUCUGAAAUAUUUCUUUGUCAUUUUUAUAUUUGCUCAUUUCUUGAAAUUUAUUUUUAUAUACUGCCUCUGUACUUGUUAAUUUUUAAACAAAUGGCAUACCAUUAUUUGUACCUGUACUGUUCAUAUUUCAUGCCUUCUACAGGGUGAGUUACUAAAAAUAUAAUUCAAAUUCGUCAAUUUAACCCUUAACAUUUGAACAACUUGAGAAUGUGAAAUGUCACCCACAACAUUAUUUGCAUCCCAUUUUCAAAACAAAGGUCCCAUUAAAAGCAAUGCAUGAGCAGAAAAUUAACAUCAAAGUAUCCAUAAAUUUGUAGCUUCCUAUUUUCUCAUAAAACUAUGAUUUCAGCCAAAUUCCUGAAUAUAUCAAACAGUUACUCUAAAAUUACCUUCUUUUAUGAACUCACCCUGUAGGCCUAUAUGCUCAUGUAUUUUACUUGUUCUUUGAUUUAUAGUGGAUUAGCCUCUUAUCUGUAAUUGUUUAUUUUUUUACAAAAUUGUAUAUUAUAUUUCUUAAUACUUGUCCACUUGUACCAGUAUAUUUUACUUGUAAUGUGAUUUAAAGUGAACAAGCUUCUUAUCUGUAAUUGUUCAUGUUUUCAGCAACUUGCCAUUAUAUUUCGUAAUACUUGUACUGUUUUAACAGUGUACUAGUAUUUCACUUGUACUAUGAUUUAAAGUAACAUCAAUCAAUAUCAAAAGCUCCAAAAAUAUUUGUGUUCUUACUUUACAUGUAAAUUACUGUUGUUGAAAUUCAUUUAAGUAUGCAUCCUAUGAAUGAUGCCAUGUUUAUUUUCUAUCUGUUUUACUUCACUUUACAAUGAUUUAUAGAUUCCAAUCAAUAUAAAAUUUUCCACAAGUGUAUUUGUGUUCAUACAUUAUAUCAAUGUAAGAACAAUUAUUUAUUUUAAAUCUUUUGAGAAAAAUUUCAGCCACAUUUCAGAUUAACCAAUUGUGUUGCAUAAAUUGAUUCAUUUAAUUUACAAUCACUUGUGCUAAUUAC